UCAUCUUGCAGUCACUGCCAGAGCCUAUGGAGAAAAGAGCGGACGAUGUUUUCUCUCCUUCUUUUAUGUUGUUACAACCAUUCAAAUGACAGACGAGUACAGGAAAUGUUGACAGCUGGCAUGUUGGAAUGUUUCUGGAAAAUGGAAUUCAGGGCAUGAAGGGAAGAGCUAGUCCCUGGAGCUUGGGGAGGUAUGGAUGAACACCGCAUGUAUUGAUGGAAUUUGUGCUGGGCCAUUAAGUAUUUAUCAAUGGAUACACAUGUGACUUGUUUUCAAGACAUGGGGCCUCACCAGCCUUUGUUCAUAUCUUCAGAUGCAAAAUGACGAGGUGAAGUUGUACACUGAGUCCAGAGCAAGUCACAGAAUUGCAGUGAGGACUCACCAGCUCCGUCAAGUUCAGGCUUGGCCCAGGUGCCUCUGGACACAGCCUUUGAAUCGCUUCUCGGCCUUUUGGCCAAGAUCAAGUGUGGACACAGCCUUUGCCUGGGCAUCCGCUCAGCUGCUGGAUUAACAGAAGUUGGAUUCAGAGCAUAUGGGAUCUCUUUUCUUUGAUCCAGUCCAAGAGGAUUGAGUUACUUAGCCCCUCGGAGAAGCUUGGGGAAACAUGGCCCCACCAGGAUGUGGGGGAGCACACGGCCCUGUGAGGCCCGGUCUUGUAGACGGUCCAGU
rnacentral:lncRNA from 1 species